AUUGAACGCUGGCGGCAGGCCUAACACAUGCAAGUCGAGCGAGCGGCGGACGGGUGAGUAAUGUCUGGGAAACUGCCUGAUGGAGGGGGAUAACUACUGGAAACGGUAGCUAAUACCGCAUACCCUCAGAUGUGCCCAGAUGGGAUUAGCUAGUCGGUGGGGUAAUGGCUCACCUAGGCGACGAUCACUAGCUGGUGUGAGAGGAUGACCAGCAACACUGGAACUGAGACAAGGUCCAGACUCCUACGGGAGGCAGCAGUGGGGAAUAGUGAACAAUGGGCGCAAGCCUGAUGCAGACAUGCCGCGUGUGUGAAGAAGGCCUUCGGGUUGUAAAGCACUUUCAGCGGGGAGGCGUUACCCGCAGAAGAAGCACCGGCUAACUCCGUGCCAGCAGCCGCGGUAAUAC
rnacentral:rRNA from 1 species